rnacentral:rRNA from 1 species
UACAGAGGGUGCGAGCGUUGUUCGGAAUUACUGGGCGUAAAGCGCGCGCAGGCGGCUCUUUAAGUCUGACGGUGAAAUGCCGGGGCUCAACCCCGUGCCCGCCGCGGAUACUGGAGGGCUGGAGACACGUAGAGGCAAGCGGAAUUCCGGGUGUAGCGGUGGAAUGCGUAGAGAUCCGGAAGAACACCGGAGGCGAAGGCGGCCCCCUGGUUGGAUACUGACGCUGAGACGCGAAAGCGUGGGGAGCAAACAGG